UUAAGAAGGCCUGAUGACAUGUACAUACCAGUGUCCUCCCCACCCCUCUGGACCUGCAGACAUAGAUUCUCUUCUCUAAUCUCAGCCCUUCUCCUGCUCCUGCCAAGAUUGUGUCCCCUCUGGCCUUCCCAGCAAGUGACACGGCUGUGCAGGAUUGGAGCCCACAGCCUCCUGAGCCCUGCCUUCUGCCAUCCAGGUUAUAUGAUGGGGACUUACUGUGUGACUUCCAACAGGAAGGGAGGCUGAAGUAAGACUUGAGAAGGCAGAAGAUUUCUGGAAAAGAAGGAGGUCUUCUGGAGAAGAAGAGAAUUGCAGAAAAGGGAAACAGCUAAAACUCAUAGGAGAAAAGUAAAUAAAAGGUCAUCCUCUGCCAUCAUGUUCCAGGACCUGACCUGGAAUUUCUCUUUCAUAACAACAACAUACAAAGAAAGACUUGUUUAUUUAUGAGAGGAAGAAAAAGAAGAAGGAAAAGAUGGAGGAGAAGACAGAGAAUGUACCAUAGUAUCACUCUGGCAUAUGUGGUGCUGGGUAUCAAACUUGGGACCUCAUGUUUGAUAGCCCAACAAUUUACCCAUUGUACCACCUCCCAAGACAUAUCUCUCUCCUUCUAUAUGAACUAGUCAGCUCAAAUCAGUGAUGCUUCAGAAACAACAACAGCAACAACAAAAAAUAAAGGAUGAGGGGGUGGGGCAGUAGUGUAGCGGGUUAAGCACAUGUCGCACAAGCGCAAGGACCGGCUAAGGAUCCCGUUUGAGCCCCUGGCUCCCCACCUGCAGGGGAGUCACUUCACAGGCAGUGAAACAGGUCCGCAGGUGUCUAUCUUUCUCUCCCCCUCUCUGUCUUUCCCUCCUCUCUCCAUUUCUCUCUGUCCUAUCCAACAACGAUGACAUCAAUAACAACAAUAAUUACAAUAACAACAACAAUAAAAAUAUCAAGG